rnacentral:rRNA from 1 species
UGAGGAAUAUUGGUCAAUGGACGAGAGUCUGAACCAGCCAAGUAGCGUGAAGGAUGAAGGCCCUAUGGGUCGUAAACUUCUUUUAUAGGGGAAUAAAGUGCGGAACGUGUUCCGCUUUGUAUGUACCCUACGAAUAAGGAUCGGCUAACUCCGUGCCAGCAGCCGCGGUAAUACGGAGGAUCCGAGCGUUAUCCGGAUUUAUUGGGUUUAAAGGGAGCGUAGGUGGAUAUAUAAGUCAGUUGUGAAAGUUUGCGGCUCAACCGUAAAAUUGCAGUUGAUACUGUAUAUCUUGAGUGUACAAGAGGUGGGCGGAAUUCGUGGUGUAGCGGUGAAAUGCUUAGAUAUCACGAAGAACUCCGAUUGCGAAGGCAGCUCACUAGAGUACAACUGACACUGAGGC